GCCUUCGUGUUGUAAUAGUCAGCACACUGGACGGGUAACCCAGAGGUCCAUGGUUCGAUUCCCGGCGAAGACG
rnacentral:tRNA from 1 species